CUAAGUUUGAUGGCGACCGGCACACGGGUGAGUAACACGUAUCCAACCUGCCGAUGACUCGGGGAUAGCCUUUCGAAAGAAAGAUUAAUACCCGAUGGCAUAGUUCUUCCGCAUGGUAGAACUAUUAAAGAAUUUCGGUCAUCGAUGGGGAUGCGUUCCAUUAGGUUGUUGGCGGGGUAACGGCCCACCAAGCCUUCGAUGGAUAGGGGUUCUGAGAGGAAGGUCCCCCACAUUGGAACUGAGACACGGUCCAAACUCCUACGGGAGGCAGCAUG
rnacentral:rRNA from 1 species